GAUGAACGCUGGCGGCGUGCCUAAUACAUGCAAGUCGAGCGAACGGACGAGAAGCUUGCUUCUCUGAUGUUAGCGGCGGACGGGUGAGUAACACGUGGAUAACCUACCUAUAAGACUGGGAUAACUUCGGGAAACCGGAGCUAAUACCGGAUGAUAUUUUGAACCGCAUGGUUCAAAAGUGAAAGACGGUCUUGCUGUCACUUAUAGAUGGAUCCGCGCUGCAUUAGCUAGUUGGUAAGGUAACGGCUUACCAAGGCAACGAUGCAUAGCCGACCUGAGAGGGUGAUCGGCCACACUGGAACUGAGACACGGUCCAGACUCCUACGGGAGGCAGCAGUAGGGAAUCUGCCGCAAUGGGCGAAAGCCUGACGGAGCAACGCCGCGUGAGUGAUGAAGGUCUUCGGAUCGUAAAACUCUGUUAUUAGGGAAGAACAUAUGUGGAAGUAACUGUGCACAUCUUGACGGUACCUAAUCAGAAAGCCACGGCUAACUACGUG
rnacentral:rRNA from 1 species